GAUGAACGCUGGCGGCGUGCUUAACACAUGCAAGUCGAACGGAAAGGCCCUGCUCUUGUGGCUUGCUCGUGUGGCGCACGUGUGAGUAUCACGUGUGUAUCCUCCCCUUGUCUUUCGGAUAACAUUAGGAAACUGCGGCUAAUACCGCAUAUGAUCUCCUGCUCCUUAGUGUUGGUUGGAAAGUUUCGGCGGUUGUGGAUGGACUCGCGGCUUACCAGCUUGUUUGUGUGGUAGUGGCUUACGAAGGAUUUGACGGGUAGGCGGCCUGAGAGGGUGACCGGCAGCAAGAGGACUAAGGGAGGGAGCAGAAGGCUACGGGAGGCAGAAGGGGGGAAGAUUGCACAGUAAGCGGAAGACUGAUGUAGAAACGCCGCGAGCGGGAUGACGGACUUCUGGUGGUAAACAGCUUUCGCCUGAGACGAAGAGGGAGUGACGGUAAUGGGUAAAGAAGCACCGGCUAACUACGUG
rnacentral:rRNA from 1 species